rnacentral:rRNA from 1 species
CAGCAGCCACGGUAAUACGUAGGUCCCGAGCGUUGUCCGGAUUUAUUGGGCGUAAAGCGAGCGCAGGCGGUUCGAUAAGUCUGAAGUUAAAGGCUGUGGCUCAACCAUAGUUCGCUUUGGAAACUGUCAAACUUGAGUGCAGAAGGGGAGAGUGGAAUUCCAUGUGUAGCGGUGAAAUGCGUAGAUAUAUGGAGGAACACCGGUGGCGAAAGCGGCUCUCUGGUCUGUAACUGACGCUGAGGCUCGAAAGCGUGGGGAGCGAACAGGAUUAGAUACCCCCGUAGUCCCUGUCUCUUAUACA